rnacentral:RNase_P_RNA from 1 species
AAAGUUUGACAGACAAUCGCUGGCGGCUAUAGGCCGCGAGAGGAAAGUCCGGGCUCCGUAGGGCAGGAUGCUGGAUAACGUCCAGUCAGCGCGAGCUGAAGGAUAGUGCCACAGAAAUGGACCGCCGAUGGCCGGCUUAUGCCGGAUCAGGUAAGGGUGGAACCGUGGUGUAAGAGACCACGAGGAGCAUAGGUGACUAUGUUCCUGGUAAACCCCAUCUGGAGCAAGACCGAGAGAACGCAGCGCUGUGAGGCGCACCCUUGCCCGGGGCGUGUUCGGGUUGGUUGCUUGAGCCGUUCAGCAAUGUUCGGCCUAGAUAGAUGAUUGUCGCUAAGUAGGUGGGAGGGUCGUUCCCGUUUACACCACCGAAAGUACAGAACCCGGCUUACGGCAAACUUUCCGC